ACAAGUAUACAAGAGCAUCGGGUGGAUGCCUUGGCGUCGGAAGGCGAAGAAAGACGUGGUAAGCUGCGAUAAGCCUCGGGGAGAAGCUAAACAUUCUGCGAUCCGGGGAUGUCUGAAUGGGGAAACCCGGCGGGAGUCAUGUCCCGUCAUCCGCAAGUGAAUACAUAGCUUGCAGGAAGCCAACUCAGGGAAGUGAAACAUCUCAGUACCUGAAGGAAAGGAAAUCAAACGAGACUCCCUCAGUAGCGGCGAGCGAAGGGGGAAGAGCCUAAACCGGUUGGAUUCGUCCAGCCGGGGUUGUAGGGCCGGCAUAGGUGAUUCAUGAGUAGGCAGGGGAAGGAAGCUGGAAAGCUUUGCCAAAGCGGGUGACAGCCCCGUACCCGAACCUGAAAGUGACACAGCCGGUACCUGAGUACCGCGGGGCACGUGAAACCCCGUGGGAAUCCGGGAGGACCAUCUUCCAAGGCUAAGUACUAACCGACGACCGAUAGUGCACCAGUACCGUGAGGGAAAGGUGAAAAGAACCCCUGUCAGGGGAGUGAAAUAGAAUCUGAAACCUGAUGCUUACAAGCUGUGGGAGCCGUGCUUGCAUGGUGACCACGUGCCUUUUGCAUAAUGAGUCAGCGAGUUAAUCUGUACUGCGAGGUUAAGCGUAAGUGGAGCCGUAGCGAAAGCGAGUCUGAUAAGGGCGAUAGUAGUGCGGAUUAGACCCGAAACCGGGUGAUCUAUCCAUGAGCAGGUUGAAGCACGGGUAAAACCUUGUGGAGGACCGAACCCAUACCGGCUGAAAACGGUUGGGAUGACUUGUGGAUAGGGGUGAAAGGCCAAUCAAACCCGGUGAUAGCUGGUUCUCCCCGAAAUAUAUUGAGGUAUAGCCUCGUGGAUUGUCUACCGGAGGUAAAGCACUGACAGAGCUAGGGGUCCUACCAGAUUACCAAACUCUUUCAAACUCAGAAUGCCGGUCAGAUGUACCACGGGAGUCAGACAGUGGGUGCUAAGGUCCAUUGUCGAGAGGGUAAGAGCCCAGAUCAACAGCUAAGGUCUCCAAAUAUAUGCUCAGUGGUUAAGGUGGUGACGUUGUAGAGACACCCAGGACGUUGGCUUAGAAGCAGCCAUCGUUUAAAGAAAGCGUAAUAGCUCACUGGUCUAAUGACGUUGCGCCGAAAAUGUAACGGGGCUAAGCAUAUUACCGAAGCUUUGAAUUCCGCGUAUGCGGUCUGGUAGGGGAGCGUUCUUCAUGGGCUGAAGGUGUGUUGUAAAGCAUGCUGGACUGUGGAGAAGUGAUUAUGCUGACAUGAGUAACGAUAAAACGGGUGAAAAACCCGUUCGCCGUAAACCCAAGGUUUCCUGGGUAAAGGUAAUCUUCCCAGGGUUAGUCGGCCCCUAAGGCAAGGCUGAAAGGCGUAGCUGAUGGGAAACGUGUUAAUAUUCACGUACUUGUGUGUUCGCGCGAAGGAGGGACGCAGGAAGAUAGGCGAUCCGGGUGUUGGAUUACCCGGUGCAAGCGAGUAGGCAUGGGAAGCAGGCAAAUCCGUUUCCCUGUAUGCUGAGACGCGAGUCCGUGGGCGUAAGCCCUGAAGUCGCUGAGUCUAUGCUGCCAAGAAAAGCUUCUAAGUUUAGAACACGCAAACCGUACCGGAAACCAACUCAGGUGGGUGGGAUGAAUAAUCCAAGGCGCUCGAGAGAACUCUGGCCAAGGAACUCGGCAAAAUAACCCCGUAACUUCGGAAGAAGGGGUGCUCCUUUAGGUGAAGCGAUUCACUUGUUGAGCCUGAGGGAGCCGCAGAGAAAUGGUGGUGGCGACUGUUUACUAAAAACAUAGGUCUGUGCGAAGUCGUAAAGACGACGUAUACGGACUGACGCCUGCCCGGUGCCGGAAGGUUAAAAGGAGGAGUCAGCGCAAGCGAAGCUCCGAAUUGAAGCCCCGGUAAACGGCGGCCGUAACUAUAACGGUCCUAAGGUAGCGAAAUUCCUUGUCAGGUAAG
rnacentral:rRNA from 1 species